rnacentral:lncRNA from 1 species
AUCUGGGUUCCUGCCAGAAAUGUUGGACACCACCCCACCGACCAAGAAGAUGGCCCGCCUAUCACUGGCAGAUCAAGGACAGAAGAAGUGGAGGAGGAAGCAGAGGAAACACUACUCCCAGAAGGAUAAAAAGAUUUCCUGGAAGGACAUCCAUGACCUGCCUGAGGAACCGGGACAUGAAGGCUGCUCUGAAGAAACUCUUCCACUGCCCCUCUUCCUCUUCCUCCAUCAUGUGAGACCAUGCACAUCUGGCACUGUGGUCCCAAGUCAGAAGCACUAGGAAACUCAGCUUCAAUGUUACCCCUGCAAGGAGCUGCUUGCCAUCUUUCCAGCUUGAAAUCCUUUCCCUUGAGAACCUUUUGUUCCCUUGGGCAGAGUGCAGCACACAGCUCUGGAUUCAGUUCCCACAGGCAGACUGACAAGGAGAGUGAAGUUGGGAGUCUAAGUGUUGACUUCAUCAUAUGGAAAAUUGGAAUGAUAUCUGUUUUACCCAUGUCACGAGAUGUGCUCACAGUAGCUCAUGCUUUAAAGACUAGAUUACUGUUUGCAUGAACAUUUUAUUUACUAUGUUUGAUCACUCUGCUAGGCCUAUAAGCAUGUAUGGGUAAGGCUCAUGUGACUACAUAUUGCAUUCCUCUUCAAUUUUGGACAUAAUUGCAUUUAUUAUGUGUAUCAAUAGCAGUUAAUAAAUGUGAAAAAAGUAGAUGAAAA